UAGGGAAUCUUCCACAAUGGACGAAAGUCUGAUGGAGCAACGCCGCGUGAGUGAAGAAGGGUUUCGCUCGUAAAACUCUGUUGUUAAAGAAGAACAUAUCUGAGAGUAACUGUUCAGGUAUUGACGGUAUUUAACCAGAAAGCCACGGCUAACUACGUGUCAG
rnacentral:rRNA from 1 species